GAUCUCUAUUCCUGGAUUUUUCCCAACUGUGUGCUCUACCUGGAUUCCUCUGAUCUUGUCAUCAAACAAAAGGAUUUAAGGGGAGCAGCUUGAACUUAAGGCUGAUCUUUAGGACGUUAGCCUGAAGAGACAGGCCCAACCAGCUCUGAAAUUGAGAUGCAAGUUCAUCUUCUGCAGAGUCCCUGAAAAUAUCUCCAGGACAACUAUAGGAACUGGCAGGAUAGCAGGAAUGAUGUAUCCCUCAUGGUGUCAAUCCAGUCAGCAGAUUCUUUAUCAUCCUCACCAGGAAAACAGGGUCUCAAGUCCAGUCAGCACUCCAAGGAAUGAAGAAUUCUCUUCUCACAGGAAGUAACAGCUCCUUUUAAAGAUGGUUCCUUUGCGUCACUUCCUGUGUCUUCCCCUAAUUUUACAUCUACCAAUCACAGUUGAUGCUCUGCUCUAGGACUGCCCAGAAGGCAGACAGCCAAUUCUGAUUUGUCACCCACUAUCACACAUCUGAGUGACAGACCUCCCUCACUCAAGUGUGAAUGGGAUGUUUACACCUUUGUUGAUUAAAUCUAAAAUGAGCAGAUCUUCAUACUCAACUUUAA
rnacentral:lncRNA from 1 species